GUCUACGGCCAUACCACCCUGAACGCGCCCUAUCUCGUCUGAUCUCGGAAACUAAGCAGGGUCGGGCCUGGUUAGUACUUGGAUGGGAGACUCCCUGGGAAUAUCCAAGACCCUAAUUA
rnacentral:rRNA from 1 species